GACGAACGCUGGCGGCGUGCUUAACACAUGCCAGUCGAACGGUGAAGGGACCAGCUUGCUGGUUCUGGAUGAGUGGCGAACGGGUGAGUAACACGUGAGUAACCUGCCCCCUUCUUCUGGAUAACCGCAUGAAAGUGUGGCUAAUACGGGAUAUUCUGGGUCUGUCGCAUGGCGGGCCCGGGAAAGAUAUUGCUUCGGUGGGGGAUGGGCUCGCGGCCUAUCAGCUUGUUGGUGGGGUGAUGGCCUACCAAGGCGGUGACGGGUAGCCGGCCUGAGAGGGUGGACGGUCACACUGGGACUGAGACACGGCCCAGACUCCUACGGGAGGCAGCAGUGGGGAAUAUUGCACAAUGGGCGCAAGCCUGAUGCAGCGACGCCGCGUGAGGGAUGGAGGCCUUCGGGUUGUAAACCUCUUUCGCCAGUGAAGCAGGCCUGCUCCUUGUGGGUGGGUUGACGGUAGCUGGAUAAGAAGCGCCGGCUAACUACGUG
rnacentral:rRNA from 1 species